UCCUUUAUUCUGGGGAAAAUAAUCUCUCAAGGAUCUAUGAAAUCUCCCAAGAUUUCUUUAGAGCUGACAAAAAGAAUCGGUCUCUUACUCAAUUUUUUGCUGAUUUUAAACAAAUGUAUGAGGAGUUUAAUCAUCUUUUGCCAAUUACCUCUGAUGUUAAGACGAUGCAGGAGCAACGAGAACAAUUGGCUGUUAUGGGAUUUUUGGGAGCACUUGGACCAGAGUUCAAUGUAGUUCGUUCACAAAUUCUUGGGGGAAAUACUGUGCCUUCACUAACGGAGACCUUUUCUCGGGUCUUAAGGGUUUCACGUGAGUCAUCUAAGGAUAUAUCCCCCACAGGUGAUAGUUCUGCCUUGGCAGUCCAAGGAAAUCGAGGUGGUGGUCAAGGUCGUGGUGGUGGUCGUAGUGGCCGUGGCUUUAAUAGUGGUGGUAGUGGCCGUGGGUUCAAUAGAGGCCAAUCACAGUCAUACGGUAGCAUCUCUAGUGACAAAGGGAGUAAUACCGGACUUGCACGAACAUGUCAUUAUUGUGGUAUGCCUGGACAUAUUCAGCGUUUUUGCUAUAAGCUUCAUGGAAAGCCCCCUCAUUCGGCUGUCGCUAAUGUAGCCCAUGCAGUAGAGUUGGGUGUUUCUUCGUAGUCUUCUGAAGGAGGAACACUGAUUAGAAUGUCAGAAGAGGAACUUGCUAGGUACAAUCAGUUCCAGAUUUCUCAGCCAGUUUCCUCUUCCACAGCUACUUUUGCUCAGACAGGUAAUGCAACAGCAUGUCUUUCAUCUACCUCUCGCCCCUGGGUCAUUGAUUCAGGUGCUACCGAUCAUAUGACUGGAUCUUCAGGAUUUGAAGACGAAGAAGACGAUUGGUAAAGGACAUAUGUCAGGGGGACUAUAUGUGUUUGAUAAUGCUACCAGUGUAGCUUGUUCAGCAGUUUCUCCACAUCAAGUUCACUGUCGCUUGGGACAUCCCUCUUUAGCAAGUUUGAAGAAAAUUGAUUCUCAGUUUCAUUCUUUAUCUAGUUUCGAGUGUGAGUCGUGUCAGUUUGGAAAAUUGCAUCGUAUUAGUUAUAGUCCAAGAGUCAAUAAACAGGCUUCUCGGCCGUUUUCUUUAGUUCAUUCUGAUGUUUGGGGUCCAUGUCCUACUGCUUCAAAGUUGGGUUUCAAGUACUUCGUGACUUUUGUAGAUGACUAUUCAAGAGCCACUUGGCUAUAUCUAAUGAAAAGUCGUUCUGAAUUAUU